UGGGGAAUAUUGCACAAUGGGCGGAAGCCUGAUGCAGCGACGCCGCGUGAGGGAUGACGGCCUUCGGGUUGUAAACCUCUUUCAGUAGGGACGAAGCGUAAGUGACGGUACCUGCAGAAGAAGCACCGGCUAACUACGUGCCAGCAGCCGCGGUAAUACGUAGGGUGCGAGCGUUGUCCGGAAUUACUGGGCGUAAAGCGCGCGCAGGUGGUUUAGAAAGUCUGAUGUGAAAGCCCACGGCUCAACCGUGGAGGGUCAUUGGAAACUAAUAAACUUGAGUGCAGGAGAGAAAAGGGGAAUUCCUAGUGUAGCGGUGAAAUGCGUAGAGAUUAGGAGGAACACCGGUGGCGAAAGCGGCUUUUUGGCCUGCAACUGACACUGAGGCGCGAAAGCGUGGGGAGCAAACAGG
rnacentral:rRNA from 1 species